rnacentral:ncRNA from 1 species
UUUAUGACUAUGACAAGGAAUAGUAGAAUUAAAUUCUUUUUAAAGAGAGGAAGCUAUUGGUGAGAGGCUUCUAAAAGGAUAAUUUCGAACCAGCCUUUGAGUUCUGUACCGAAAUUAAGUAGGCUACAGCGGUACUUUACCGUUAUUAAAAUGAGUGAAUAUAUUAUUUUAUAUUAACUAGGGUGGUACCACCGGAAGCCGGUCCCUUUU